CGUGGAGACAGGUGGUGCAUGGCUGUCGUCAGCUCGUGUCGUGAGAUGUUGGGUUAAGUCCCGCAACGAGCGCAACCCUCACCCCUUGUUGCCAUCAGGUCACGCUGGGCACUCUAGGGGAACUGCCCCGGUCAACGGGGAGGAAGGUGGGGACGACGUCAAGUCAUCAUGCCCCUUACGCCCUGGGCUACACACGUGCUACAAUGGCCGGUACAAAGGGAUGCAAGACCGUGAGGUGGAGCUAAACCCAAGAAGCCGGUCUAAGUUCAGAUUGGAGUCUGCAACUCGACUCCAUGAAGGAGGAAUCGCUAGUAAUCGCGCAUCAGCACGGCGCGGUGAAUACGUUCCCGGGCCUUGUACACACCGCCCGUCACACCACGAAAGCUGUCUGUACUCGAAGUCGCUGAG
rnacentral:rRNA from 1 species